rnacentral:tRNA from 1 species
GGUUGUGGCUCAGUGGUAGACUACUUGCUUAGCACGUGUAAGACCCUGGGUUUGAUUCUCAGCACCA